rnacentral:pre_miRNA from 1 species
CGGCUGAUGAAACUUACAAAGUUGUCGUUCUGAUAUGGACUCUGCAGGUUUUAUCAGCCCUA